rnacentral:lncRNA from 1 species
CCCACCAAGGCUAUAGCCCACCCGUUUUUUGGCCAUUUUUCCGCUGGGGGGUCUUGGCGCCCCGACCUUCGGGGGCUGAAUUUUGGGCGCGGGUGUGCCCGUGGCCUAUUUUUGGCACACGGAGGCCGCCCGCAAAGUCUGGGGCCAUUCCGAGUCCGGCGGACGAACUUCGCCCACGCCCCCCACCAAGGCUAUCAGCCCACCUCGUUUUUUUGGCCAUUUUUCCGCUGGGGGGUCUUGGCGCCCCGACCUUGGGGGGCUGAUUUUUGGGCGCGGGUGUGCCCGUGGCCUAUUUUUGGCACACGGAAGCCGCCCGCAAAGUCUGGGGCCAUUCCGAGUCCGGCGGACGAACUUCGCCCACGCCCCCCACCAAGGCUAUAGCCCACCCGUUUUUUGGCCAUUUUUCCGCUGGGGGGUGUUGGCACCCCGACCUUCGGGGGCUGAUUUUUGGGCGCGGGUGUGCCCGUGGCCUGUUUUUGGCACACGGAGGCCGCCCGCAAAGUCUGGGGCCAUUCCGAGUCCGGCGGACGAACUUCGCCCACGCCCCCCACCAAGGCUAUAGCCCACCCGUUUUUUGGCCAUUUUUCCGCUGGGGGGUCUUGGCGCCCCGACCUUCGGGGGCUGAUUUUUGGGCACGGCUGUGCACGUGGCCUAUUUUUGGCACACGGAGGCCGCCCGCAAAGUCUAGGGCCAUUCCGAGUCCGGCGGACGAACUUCGCCCACGCCCCCCACCAAGGCUAUAGCCCGCCCACCCGUUUUUUGGCCAUUUUUCCGCUGGGGGGUCUUGGCGCCCCGACCUUCGGGGGCUCAUUUUUGGGCGCGGGUGUGCCCGUGGCCUAUUUUUGGCACACGGAGGCCGCCCGCAAAGUCUGGGGCCAUUCCGAGUCCGGCGGACGAACUUCGCCCACGUCCCCCACCAAGGCUAUAUCCCACCCGUUUUUUGGCCAUUUUUCCGCUGGGGGGUCUUGGCGCCCCGACCUUCGGGGGCUGAUUUUUGGGCGCGGCUCUGCCCGUGGCCUAUUUUUGGCACACGGAGGCCGCCCGCAAAGUCUGGGGCCAUUCCGAGUCCGGCGGACGAACUUCGCCCACGCCCCCCACCAAGGCUAUAGCCCACCCGUUUUUUGGCCAUUUUUCCGCUGGGGGGUCUUGGCACCCCGACCUUCGGGGGCUGAUUUUUGGGCGCGGCUCUGCCCUUGGCCUAUUUUUGGCACACGGAAGCCGCCCGCAAAGUCUGGGGCCAUUCCGAGUCCGGCGUACGAACUUCGCCCACGCCCCCCACCAAGGCUAUAGCCCACCCGUUUUUUGGCCAUUUUUCCGCUGGGGGGUGUUGGCACCCCGACCUUCGGGGGCUGAGUUUUGGGCGCGGGUGUGCCCGUGGUCUAUUUUUGGCACACGGAGGCCGCCCGCAAAGUCUGGGGUCAUUCCGAGUCCGGCGGACGAACUUCGCCCACGCCCCCCACCAAGGCUAUAGCCCACCCGUUUUUUGGCCAUUUUUCCGCUGGGGGGUCUUGGCGCCCCGACCUUCGGGGGCUGAUUUUUGGGCGCGGCUGUGCCCGUGGCCUAUUUUUGGCACACGGAGGCCGCCCGCAAAGUCUGGGGCCAUUCCGAGUCCGGCGGACGAACUUCGCCCACGCCCCCCACCAAGGCUAUAGCCCGCCCACCCGUUUUUUGCCCAUUUUUCCGCUGGGGGGUCUUGGCGCCCCGACCUUCGGGGGCUGAUUUUUGGGCGCGGGUGUGCCCGUGGCCUAUUUUUGGCACACGGAGGCCGCCCA